AUGCAAGUCGAACGAUGAACCCGGAGCUUGCUCUGGGGUAUUAGUGGCGAACGGGUGAGUAACACGUGAGUAACCUGCCCUUGACUCUGGGAUAACCUCCGGAAACGGAAGCUAAUACCGGAUAUGACGCACGGAGGCAUCUCCUGUGCGUGGAAAGAAUUUCGGUCAAGGAUGGACUCGCGGCCUAUCAGGUAGUUGGUGAGGUAACGGCCCACCAAGCCUACGACGGGUAGCCGGCCUGAGAGGGUGACCGGCCACACUGGGACUGAGACACGGCCCAGACUCCUACGGGAGGCAGCAGUGGGGAAUAUUGCACAAUGGGCGCAAGCCUGAUGCAGCAACGCCGCGUGAGGGACGACGGCCUUCGGGUUGUAAACCUCUUUUAGUAGGGAAGAAGCGAAAGUGACGGUACCUGCAGAAAAAGCACCGGCUAACUACGUGCCAGCAGCCGCGGUAAUACGUAGGGUGCAAGCGUUGUCCGGAAUUAUUGGGCGUAAAGAGCUCGUAGGCGGUUUGUCGCGUCUGCUGUGAAAUCCCGAGGCUCAACCUCGGGCCUGCAGUGGGUACGGGCAGACUAGAGUGCGGUAGGGGAGAUUGGAAUUCCUGGUGUAGCGGUGGAAUGCGCAGAUAUCAGGAGGAACACCGAUGGCGAAGGCAGAUCUCUGGGCCGUAACUGACGCUGAGGAGCGAAAGCGUGGGGAGCGAACAGGAUUAGAUACCCUGGUAGUCCACGCCGUAAACGUUGGGAACUAGAUGUGGGGACCAUUCCACGGUCUCCGUGUCGCAGCUAACGCAUUAA
rnacentral:rRNA from 1 species